UGAAAAAAUUGUGAUCGCUUCUCUGUGGUUCUGUAUUUGUAGGUUAAGCUCAAUUUGACGUUUAAAAGAGGUUUCUUGUUUGUUAUUAUUUACCUUUCAGAAUUGAAAACAAUAUGUGGGCGCGUGGCCGAAAUGGAAAAAUCAGCAUGGAGCAGAAAAUGGUUCUACUGGAUUAUUUGUCGAAUCACUACAAAAUGAUAUGUGGCAAAUUCAGCCAAAAUUUUAACCAUAAAAUAGCUCGACAAUAUUGGCAGGAAUUGAGCGAUAUUUUGAAUGCAAUACCUGGGGGAGCAAAAAAAGACUGGCAUCAGUGGAGAAAAACUUGGCAUGAUAUGCGUACAAAAACCAAAAGUAAAAAUGCAGCUAUCAAGAAGCAUAAGGAAGGUAUAGGUGGAGGCGCUUAUUUCAAAGAACAGCUGACACCGUCAGAGAAUAAAAUACUGCAGAUGAUAUGCACCACUUCUGUUGAAGGGCAUAAUUAUGUUGAAGAAUCUUUAAUUGCUUUUAAAUGAAAUGUGAGGUUUCAGAAGAACUUCCUCCUCUUUUUCAACAAGUUCAUUUCAGUAGUUCCCCCAAAAAAAGAAAAAUGUGAAAUGGAGAAUCUAUACUACAAAGAGAAAAUCAAAUUAUUGAAACACAAAGUUCAUUUAAAGGAGCGACAAGUAAAUGCAUUAGAAAGGAUUGCUAUAUGUAUGGAAAGUAUUGUUGGCUCGAAAAGUGAGAAGUUACUGAACUUUUCUUAAGCAUUUUUAUGUGUUCAUUGUUAUUUGGUCCACAUAGAUCUUUUUGCUAGAGGUUUGCGAUUAUUUGUUCAUGGGUCAACUGAAUAAUGACAAAUAUAUUAGGAAGCAAAAGAGCUGAUUUUGAAAAUUCAAGCAAUUGACAUUCCAGCAAUCACAGUUAGGAGAUUAUUGGAAGGAACAUGGCUAUAAAUUGAAAACUACACCAAAGUAUACUGGAUGAUUACAUUGGAUGAAUAAAAUUUUGUGGGAUUGUGAGAUUUUCUCCUCAUAGACACCACAGGAUAAUCAGUAUCCAUAUAUCGAUCAAAAUCAACUAACUAUCCUGAAAAUGUAACAUAUGGACUGGUUUUUCAAUAUAUAUUUUCACACUAUUUAAUGUUGAAAAAGUUGUUAAUAAGAACAAAUUGCCUAUUUUGAAAUAAAGCAUUUAUUUUCCCAAA